CCCUGGAGGCAGGGAGCAGCUCUCCCUCCACUCUGACUGGUAAAGUCAACCAACUGGAGGUGAUCCUGACUCAACUGCAGCAUGACCUCAGAAACGAGAAGGAGGACAAG